GAAUAUUGUGUAUUUUUCAUUUUUCUCCAAAAAUUGCACAAGAUAUCACAAAUCUUUUAAAUGCCUUUGAGUUUUAUUUUCAUUUUUAUUUAGCAUAAUCCUUGAAUAAGAUCCUAGCAAUUAAAAUAAUAUUUGAACGAUUAAUGAAAUGAAAAAUUAUCCGUAGCAAUUCAUAGUAAACAUUACUAAUUACGACUAGAAUAGCAUAAAUAUUUAAGAAGUUUUUACAAUUUUUUUAUUGAAUGUAACUUAUUUUUUCUAAUGCUCCUAAUUCAAAAAAUUAAAGGAUGACUAAAAAAUCUUUUAAAAAUAAGUUUCAAUUUUUAAAUUCAGUUUUAUUAUAAUAAAAGUAUCUCAUAAAAAUGAAUUGAAUGUUGAUAUUAAUUC
rnacentral:lncRNA from 1 species